AUUGCUUCUCAGCCUUUUGGCUAAGAUCAAGUAUAGUAUCUGUUCUUAUCAGUUUAAUAUCUGAUAUGUCCUCUGUCUGAGGACAAUACAUUAAAUGGAUUUUUGGAAUUAGAAGAUGGAAUAGGAGCUUGCUCCAUCCACUCCACUCAUGCAUCUGGUAUUGCGGUACUUUCAGGAACCAUGCACCCCCU
rnacentral:snRNA from 1 species